rnacentral:rRNA from 1 species
GUAGGGUCCAAGCGUUAAUCGGGAAUUACUGGGGCGUAAAGCGUGCGCAGGCGGUUGUGCAAGACCGAUGUGAAAUCCCCCGGGGCUCAACCUGGGAAUUGCAUUGGUGACUGCACGGCUAGAGUGUGUCAGAGGGGGGUAGAAUUCCACGUGUAGCAGUGAAAUGCGUAGAGAUGUGGAGGAAUACCGAUGGCGAAGGCAGCCCCCUGGGAUAACACUGACGCUCAUGCACGAAAGCGUGGGGAGCAAACAGGAUUAGAUACCCUGGUAGUCCACGCCCUAAACGAUGUCAACUAGUUGUUGGGGAUUCAUUUCCUUAGUAACGUAGCUAACGCGUGAAGUUGACCGCCUGGGGAGUACGGUCGCAAGAUUA